CCUACGGGAGGCAGCAGUGAGGAAUAUUGGUCAAUGGGCUUACACCUGAACCAGCCAAGUCGCGUGAGGGAAGACUGCCCUAUGGGUUGUAAACCUCUUUUGUCAGGGAGCAAUUGGCGCUACGUGUAGCGUUAUCGAGAGUACCUGAAGAAAAAGCAUCGGCUAACGCCGUGCCAGCAGCCGCGGUAAUACGGAGGAUGCGAGCGUUAUCCGGAUUUAUUGGGUUUAAAGGGUGCGUAGGCGGAAUGCCAAGUCAGCGGUAAAAUCGCGGGGCUCAACCUCGCCGCGCCGUUGAAACUGGUGUUCUUGAGUGGGUGAGAAGUAUGCGGAAUGCGUGGUGUAGCGGUGAAAUGCAUAGAUAUCACGCAGAACUCCGAUUGCGAAGGCAGCAUACCGGCGCCCAACUGACGCUGAAGCACGAAAGCGUGGGUAUCGAACAGGAUUAGAUACCCUGGUAGUC
rnacentral:rRNA from 1 species